UACGGGGGGGGCAAGCGUUGUUCGGAAUUACUGGGCGUAAAGGGCUGGUAGGCGGCCAACUAAGUCCGACGUGAAAUCCCAAGGCUUAACCUUGGAACUGCGUCGGAUACUGGAUGGCUUGAAUUCGGGAGAGGGAUGCGGAAUUCCAGGUGUAGCGGUGAAAUGCGUAGAUAUCUGGAGGAACUCCGGUGGCGAAGGCGGCAUCCUGGACCGAGAUUGACGCUGAACAGCGAAAGCUAGGGGAGCAAACGGG
rnacentral:rRNA from 1 species